rnacentral:rRNA from 1 species
UACGGGGGGAGCAAGCGUUGUUCGGAUUUACUGGGCGUAAAGGGCGCGUAGGCGGCCAGCACAAGUCAGUUGUGAAAUCUCCGGGCUUAACUCGGAAAGGUCAACUGAUACUGUGCGGCUAGAGUGCAGAAGGGGCAACUGGAAUUCUCGGUGUAGCGGUGAAAUGCGUAGAUAUCGAGAGGAACACCUGCGGCGAAGGCGGGUUGCUGGGCUGACACUGACGCUCAUGCACGAAAGCGUGGGGAGCAAACAGG